rnacentral:rRNA from 1 species
UACGUAGGGUGCAAGCGUUAAUCGGAAUUACUGGGCGUAAAGCGUGCGCAGGCGGUUCGGCAAGAAAGAUGGGAAAUCCCAGGGCUUAACCUUGGAACUGCAUUUUUAACUGCCGGGCUAGAGUAUGUCAGAGGGGGGUAGAAUUCCACGUGUAGCAGUGAAAUGCGUAGAGAUGUGGAGGAAUACCGAUGGCGAAGGCAGCCCCCUGGGAUAAUACUGACGCUCAUGCACGAAAGCGUGGGGAGCAAACAGG